rnacentral:rRNA from 1 species
GACAGAGGGGCAAGCGUUGUUCGGAUUUACUGGGCGUAAAGGGCGCGUAGGCGGUCAGCACAAGUCAGUUGUGAAAUCUCCGGGCUUAACUCGGAAAGGUCAACUGAUACUGUGCGACUAGAGUGCAGAAGGGGCAACUGGAAUUCUCGGUGUAGCGGUGAAAUGCGUAGAUAUCGAGAGGAACACCUGCGGCGAAGGCGGGUUGCUGGGCUGACACUGACGCUGAGGCGCGAAAGCCAGGGGAGCGAACGGG